GGUUUAUUCCGAAGCGGCGAGAGAACAGGCUCGAUGACCCGCUGGCAACCACCAGCAACGCACAAGCUGGCAGGUGCCAAGUCCUGCCCCCACCGAGGGGACAAAUAAAUA
rnacentral:ncRNA from 2 species